rnacentral:rRNA from 1 species
GUGGGGAAUAUUGGACAAUGGGCGCAAGCCUGAUCCAGCAAUGCCGCGUGAGUGAUGAAGGCCUUAGGGUUGUAAAGCUCUUUUACCCGGGAUGAUAAUGACAGUACCGGGAGAAUAAGCCCCGGCUAACUCCGUGCCAGCAGCCGCGGUAAUACGGAGGGGGCUAGCGUUAUUCGGAAUUACUGGGCGUAAAGCGCACGUAGGCGGCUUCGCAAGUCAGAGGUGAAAGCCUGGGGCUCAACCCCAGAAUUGCCUUUGAGACUGCGUCGCUUGAAUCCGGGAGAGGUGAGUGGAAUUCCGAGUGUAGAGGUGAAAUUCGUAGAUAUUCGGAAGAACACCAGUGGCGAAGGCGGCUCACUGGACCGGUAUUGACGCUGAGGUGCGAAAGCGUGGGGAGCAAACAGG